CAUCAUUCCGAGUCCCCCUCUAGCCUUUGGUAAGAAGAGUCUCCGAUGACUGAUUGAUUUUGGAGUGCCAACAAACUCUAUGCUCUUUCUUUUCCAAUCUUGGGCCUUCAAUUUGUCAAAAGGGGUACAUCCAAGAAUUUGCCUAAUUCCUGAGAGUAUUGUCAUAUUCCAACAUUUUACUUUAUCAAGAAUCCUAAGUUUGUGCUUCUGGACUUACAUUAUGGAGCGAGAUAUGUUCUCCUAUAUCUGACGUAUGUUCUGGGAUCUCCAAUCCUCCAUCGCAACCACAUUGCCACGGACCAAUGCUUUUUGAACGAGAUAAGUAGCGCUCAUUUUGUUUAUUUUUCCGUAGAGUUUGUAUAUAUCUGUGUUUUCUUAUAAUUAAUUACUAAAACAGACUCUCUUCCAUAUUCUUUCAGGAGCGUAUCAUCUUUCUUCCUUACAUUUGUCGCUUCUUAGUAUGACCGUGCAAUCGUUUGCAAAAAACAGGGUUCUCACUGCCAAUGAAAAGAGACUAGGACUGACGCAUUACUCUUUGCAAUUCUACCACUGGGUCUCGUUCGAUAUCAAUGAUUGAUUCUGCGUUGGAAAUUAUGUUUUUAAUUGCGUUGCAAUAUAAUUGUGGAAAUCCUAUAUAGAAAAUAGAAUAGAAAGAAAUGUUCUAUAGAAUCGAAAUCUUUUUUUAAAUCCAAGAGAUAAAAGCAAAGCUUUGGGUUCUCUGCUUCGAGAAUUCAAUAAUUGAUUGGAGAGACAUUACUACAUCUUCCGUUUGCCUGCCCUUUCUAAAGUCAAACUGAGUAUCUGGGAGCACUCUUUCCAUUAUUGGUUUCAAACGUUCCGUCAGACAUCCACUGUAAAUUUUAAAUUAUAUUUCAAAUUAAGUAACUGGCCUCCA
rnacentral:lncRNA from 1 species